rnacentral:rRNA from 1 species
UACCCACUCCUAGAUCGGGGAGGUAGUGACGAAAAAUAACAAUACCGGACUCUAUGAGGCUCGGUAAUUGAAAUGAGUACAGUUUAAAAGCCUUAACGAGGAUCUAUUGGAGGGCAAGUCUGGUGCCAGCAGCCGCGGUAAUUCCAGCUCCAAUAGCGUAUAUUAAAGUUGUUGCAGUUAAAAAGCUCGUAGUUGGAUCUCGGGUACUAGCAUUCGGUACGCUUAAUUGCUGUUACUGUUUGUCUAGUCCUAAUCAAUCGGUUGGCCAUUUAUGCCCUUUAUUGGGUGUUUUUGGUAGCCGAUACGUUUACUUUGAGAAAAUUAGAGUGCUUAAAGCAGGCUUUACGCCUGAAUAAUGUUGCAUGGAAUAAUAGAAUAGGACCUCGGUUCUAUUUUGUUGGUUUUGUAGAGCAUUGAGGUAAUGAUUAAUAGGGACAGACGGGGGCAUUCGUACUGCGGUGUUAGAGGUGAAAUUCUUGGAUCGCCGCAGGACGAACAACUGCGAAAGCAUUUGCCAAGAAUGUUUUCAUUAAUCAAGAACGAAAGUUGGAGGUUCGAAGACGAUUAGAUACCGUCCUAGUUCCAACCAUAAACGAUGCCAACUAGCGAUUAGCUGCUGUUAAUUAAACGACACAGCUAGCAGCUUCCGGGAAACCAAAGUUUUUGGGUUCCGGGGGAAGUAUGGUUGCUAAGCUGAAACUUAAAGGAAUUGACGGAAGGGCACCACCAGGAGUGGAGCCUGCGGCUUAAUUUGACCCAACACGGGAAAUCUCACCCGGCCCGGACACUGUAAGGAUUGACAGAUUGAGAGCUCUUUCUUGAUUCGGUGGGUGGUGGUGCAUGGCCGUUCUUAGUUGGUGGAGCGAUUUGUCUGGUUAAUUCCGAUAACGAACGAGACUCUAGCCUGCUAAAUAGUACGCCGAUCUUUAGUCGGCGCGUACUUCUUAGAGGGACAAGUAGCGGUUAGCUACACGAAAUUGAGCAAUAACAGGUCUGUGAUGCCCUUAGAUGUUCGGGGCCGCACGCGCGCUACACUGAAGGGAUAAGCGUGUUCUUCCUGCUCCGAAAGGAGUGGGUAACCCGCUGAAACCCCUUCGUGAUUGGGAUCGGGGCUUGCAAUUAUUCCCCGUGAACGAGGAAUUCCCAGUAAGCGCGAGUCAUAAGCUCGCGUUGAUUACGUCCCUGCCCUUUGUACACACCGCCCGUCGCUACUACCGAUUGAAUGGUUUAGUGAGAUCCUCGGAUUUGUCCGGAAGUGGCCGCAAGGUUGCCUCUAGGUUCGGAGAAGACGAUCAAACUUGA